rnacentral:lncRNA from 1 species
CAAAUAUUCAACUGACUCCUGUUAAAUAGCACCACACAGCUAUGCCACAUGAGUGACCCUGGGCCAGGCACAGAGCUGACACCCAGUCCAAGUCAUUGAGAGGUUGCAGCAGGAAGAGUGUAAACUGGGGACCAGCAUGGGCUACCUAUAUAGCAAGUUCCACACUAGCCUGGGCUACAGACUAAAACACUGUCUCAAAAAGUAGCAGAAAAGGACAACAGAAGACUUGAUAGGUAAAGUGCUUGCCACCAACCUAACAAGCUGAGUUCAUCCCCCAGGACUGAGGUGUUGGAAGGAAGGCACCAACUUCAGCAAGUAGUCCUCUGACCUCCACAUCCAUCCACACCUACCAACCUCCCUCCCCUGCACACACACACACACACACACACAGCAAGUAGUCCUCUGAUCUCCAUACACACACACACACACACACACACACACACACAGCAAGUAGUCCUCUGACCUACACGCACACACAGCAAGUAGUCCUCUGACCUCCACAUACAUCCACACCUACCAACCUCCCUCCCCUGCACACACACACACACACAGCAAGUAGUCCUCUGAUCUCCAUACACACACACACACAGCAAGUAGUCCUGACCUACACACACACACAGCAAGUAGUCCUCUGACCUCCACAUACAUCCACACCUACCAACCUCCCUCCCUUGCACACACACACACAUACACACACACAGCAAGUAGUCCUCUGACCUCCACACACACACACACAGCAAGUAGUCCUCUGACCUCCACAUACACAUA